GAUGAACGCUGGCGGCGUGCCUAAUACAUGCAAGUCGAGCGAACAGAUGAGGAGCUUGCUCCUCUGACGUUAGCGGCGGACGGGUGAGUAACACGUGGAUAACCUACCUAUAAGACUGGGAUAACUUCGGGAAACCGGAGCUAAUACCGGAUAAUAUAUUGAACUGCAUGGUUCAAUAGUGAAAGACGGUUUUGCUGUCACUUAUAGAUGGAUCCGCGCCGCAUUAGCUAGUUGGUAAGGUAACGGCUUACCAAGGCAACGAUGCGUAGCCGACCUGAGAGGGUGAUCGGCCACACUGGAACUGAGACACGGUCCAGACUCCUAAGGGAGGAAGCAGUAGGGAAUCUUCCGCAAUGGGCGAAAGCCUGACGGAGCAACGCCGCGUGAGUGAUGAAGGUCUUCGGAUCGUAAAACUCUGUUAUUAGGGAAGAACAAAUGUGUAAGUAACUAUGCACGUCUUGACGGUACCUAAUCAGAAAGCCACGGCUAACUACGUG
rnacentral:rRNA from 1 species